GGGGGCAUAGCUCAGCUGGUAGAGCACCUGCUUUGCAAGCAGGGGGUCAUCGGUUCAAAUCCGUUUGUCUCCACCA
rnacentral:tRNA from 1 species